GCGCUCGUAGCUCAGCCGGAUAGAGCAGCUGCCUUCUAAGCAGCAGGCCGGAGGUUCGAGUCCUCCCGGGCGCGCCA
rnacentral:tRNA from 1 species